rnacentral:rRNA from 1 species
UACGGGGGGGGCAAGCGUUGUUCGGAAUUACUGGGCGUAAAGGGCUCGUAGGUGGCCAACUAAGUCGGAUGUGAAAUCCCCAGGCUUAACCUGGGAACUGCAUCCGAUACUGGAUGGCUUGAAUCCGGGAGAGGGAUGCAGAAUUCCAGGUGUAGCGGUGAAAUGCGUAGAUAUCUGGAGGAAUACCGGUGGCGAAGGCGGCAUCCUGGACCGGCAUUGACGCUGAUGAGCGAAAGCUAGGGGAGCAAACGGG